GUUUCGCAGAAAAAUUAUUUAAACACACAAAAGUGUUAAAAAAGACUUAACACGCCAGAAAUAAACAGCCUUAACUAACAUCUACCAGACAUAGGCAAAGAACGCCAUCGUGGAGCGCGCAGCAAAUACUGGGUGCUCCAGAUGUGUACCCUAGAUACGCAGAUGACAAAAGGGCAUGGGCCCCAGAUGUCAAAGACGCAAACCAGUUCUUGGAGUUCACGUUCACCACUUCCGUCUACGUGACAAAACUCGACGUCUACGAGACUUUCAAUGCUGGCGGUGUCAAGGCCAUUAGAUGCUUCGAUGUCUCAGAAGAGUGGAUAACGCUAUGGAUGACGGACUAUGUAUCCUUUUUUGAGUAUCCGAGGAUAUUCAGUCCAUCGUUUACGGUAAAAAAAACUAACAUAUAAUUUAGGUUUCGUAAGUUCAAACUUCUUAACCGGUUUAAACUCGCAAUUAUUUUCAUGGACAAUUCGAAGGCCCUUGACCCUAGACAUAACCAUGCUAAUGUGCUCCUCUGUACUGUUUGUAUUUUCUUGUAUAUUACAUACGGGUAAUUGAUAAUUUGCAUUAAAUCAAAUACUAGCUUCCACUAAUUCCUCUUUUAGUAGUGGAACAUGAGUUUCAUUUUUCUGUUAUACUUCUUAAUGGUCGUGUAGAAAAUUUGGAGACUUCAUUACUGAUAUUUGAAAUAUCGGAGGGGACGCAUUCAUGUAUAUUGCAACUAACACAAGAACAGUACGAACUUUUAAAGCGUGGUAUUGACAUGAAUAGGCCUGAAAAGUACGUGACGUCCUUGUGAGGACGCCACGUGGAAGACAUUCGCGUGUAACGGACGCUGGUUUCAUUAUACUACAUAAUCGAGUCAUCAAGGUUAUAUUUUCUAAACAAAUCAUCAUAUUAAACUUGAAGGCAUGUUUUACACUUAGACUGUUGUUCCUGGUUAUAUCUUUUAGAGAUAUUGAUGGGUCUUAACUUAUUCAUCCCCGAAAUAUUAUAAAGUAAGAGACUAAAGUACGACUGAAAAAAUUACUCUCCAAUA